UGAAGCGAAGCCGUCUAAUAUAACCGUCUCACUCGGCUCCUAUCUGCACUGCUGAUGUGAGGAAGUAGACUUCAUUAGAAUUGGAAGCACAGCUGAACUGUCCCAGACAUUAUCAGUUUAUAUAACAAACUGUCCCAGACAUUAUCAGUUUAUAUAACAAACUGUCAAGAGAUUAUCGGGUUUGUUACACAAACUGUCCCAGACAUUAUCAGUUUAUAUAACAAACUGUCCCAGACAUUAUCGGGUUUUUUACACAAACUGUCCCAGACAUUAUCAGUUUAUAUAACAAACUGUCCCAGACAUUAUCGGGUUUUUUACACAAACUGUCCCAGACAUUAUCAGUUUAUAUAACAAACUGUCCCAGAUAUUAUCGGGUUUUUUACACAAACUGUCCCAGACAUUAUCAGUUUAUAUAACAAACUGUCUUGGCUGAAGGUGACUGUGUGAGGGUGAUGACUGUGUCUUGGCUGAAGGUGACUGUGUGAGGGUGAUGACUGUGUCUUGGCUGAAGGUGACUGUGUGAGGGUGAUGACUGUGUCUUGGCUGAAGGUGACUGUGUGAGGGUGAUGACUGUGUCUUGGCUGAAGGUGACUGUGUGAGGGUGAUGACUGUGUCUUGGCUGAAGGUGACUGUGUGAGGGUGAUGACUGUGUCUUGGCUGAAGGUGACUGUGUGAGGGUGAUGACUGUGUCUUGGCUGAAGGUGACUGUGUGAGGGUGAUGACUGUGUCUUGGCUGAAGGUGACUGUGUGAGGGUGAUGACUGUGUCUUGGCUGAAGGUGACUGUGUGAGGGUGAUGACUGUGUCUUGGCUGAAGGUGACUGUGUGAGGGUGAUGACUGUGUCUUGGCUGAAGGUGACUGUGUGAGGGUGAUGACUGUGUCUUGGCUGAAGGUGACUGUGUGAGGGUGAUGACUGUGUCUUGGCUAAAGGUGACUGUGUGAGGGUGAUGACUGUGUCUUGGCUGAAGGUGACUGUGUGAGGGUGAUGACUGUGUCUUGGCUGAAGGUGACUGUGUGAGGGUGAUGACUGUGUCUUGGCUGAAGGUGACUGUGUGAGGGUGAUGACUGUGUCUUGGCUGAAGGUGACUGUGUGAGGGUGAUGACUGUGUCUUGGCUGAAGGUGACUGUGUGAGGGUGAUGACUGUGUCUUGGCUGAAGGUGACUGUGUGAGGGUGAUGACUGUGUCUUGGCUGAAGGUGACUGUGUGAGGGUGAUGACUGUGUCUUGGCUGAAGGUGACUGUGUCUUGGCUGAAGGUGACUGUGUGAGCG